rfam:Asian citrus Psyllid, Diaphorina citri - Florida Strain, whole genome shotgun sequence.
AGCAACUUAGCUUGGAAUUUAGUGUGUCUGCUUUGUAAGCGGUAGGUCGCGGGUACGAUUCCCGCAUUUCCUG